AUGAAUGCUUGCUUGCCAAAACUCACAUGAAAAUUGAAAACUAGGGAGAGUAUCAGACUAUCAGUAUCAGCACAGACAUGGAGGACGAGGCGGAGAUUUACGAUGGAGUGAGAGCUCAAUUCCCUCUCACUUUCGGCAAGCAGUCAAAGGCCCAAACCUCUCUCGAAGCCCUUCAUAAUACCACUCGCCGUACCCCCACCCCCACCCCCACCACCUCCUCCACCUCCACCACCACCACCACCAACGGCCUCCCUUCUCUUUCCUCUUCCUCCAAAGCCUGGCUCGAUUCCCUCCGAAAUCAUACUCCCAAAAUCUCUAACCUUAACCCUAGACUUCCCAGUUCCGACAGGGAUGAGGAUGCCAUUAUUGGACCGCCCCGCCCGCCGCCUGCAUCAGGUUCCGGUGACGAUGACGAUGAUGGGAUCAUGGUGGGACCACCGCCGCCGCCGCCGAGGUCGGGAGAGAGUGACGAGGAUGAGGAGGAGGGUGUGAUGAUUGGACCACCAAGACCAUCGGUAGUGGCCAGUUUAGGUGAGUCGGAUUCCGAUGGAGAAGUCGAGAAGGAGGAGAAUCAGUAUCGAAUUCCUAUGAGUAACGAGAUUGUGCUUAAAGGACAUACCAAGGUUGUUUCUGCUCUUGCCAUUGAUCACUCUGGAUCUAGAGUUCUCUCUGGCAGUUAUGACUACAUGGUACGCAUGUAUGACUUCCAAGGAAUGAAUUCUCGCUUGCAAUCAUUUAGGCAGCUUGAGCCAUUUGAGGGCCACCAAAUUCGUAACCUAAGCUGGAGUCCCACUUCAGACCGUUUCCUGUGUGUAACGGGCUCUGCUCAAGCUAAGAUUUAUGACCGUGAUGGGCUUACUCUUGGUGAGUUUGUCAAAGGUGAUAUGUAUAUUCGUGACUUAAAGAAUACCAAAGGCCACAUAUCCGGAUUGACUUGUGGAGAGUGGCACCCCAAGACUAAGGAGACAAUUUUAACAUCAUCAGAGGAUGGCUCACUGCGCAUAUGGGAUGUAAACGACUUCAAAAGUCAAAAGCAGGUCAUUAAGCCAAAGCUUGCUAGACCACGGAGAGUUGCAGUCACUACGUGUACAUGGGACUGGGAAGGAAAAUGUAUUGCUGGUGGCAUUGGAGAUGGAUCUAUUCAGAUAUGGAACUUGAAGCCUGGAUGGGGAAGCAGGCCAGAUAUAUAUGUUGAGAAUGCUCAUUCUGAUGAUAUCUCCGGGCUCAAAUUUUCUAGCGAUGGGAAAAUUCUAUUAUCGAGAAGCUUUGAUGGUUCAUUGAAGGUUUGGGAUUUGCGCCAAAUGAAAGAGCCUCUUAAGGUGUUCAAUGAUCUUCCGAAUAACUAUGCUCAAACAAACAUCGUGUUUAGUCCCGAUGAGCAACUUUUCUUGACUGGGACAUCUGUUGAAAGGGAAAGCACGACUGGAGGUUUACUGUGCUUCUAUGAUCGCACCAAACUUGAACUUGUUUCAAAAGUUGGGAUAUCGCCCAGUUGUAGUGUUGUGCAGUGUGCAUGGCACCCCAAGUUAAAUCAGGUCUUUGCAACUACUGGAGAUAAAAGCCAGGGUGGAACCCAUGUACUUUAUGAUCCAACCCUCAGUGAGAGAGGGGCUCUAGUUUGUGUUGCACGGGCUCCAAGGAAAAAGUCUGUUGAUGAUUUUGAGGCAGCUCCAGUAGUUCACAACCCUCAUGCAUUGCCUUUAUUUAGAGAUCAGCCAAGUCGUAAGCGUCAAAGAGAGAAAAUUCUGAAGGACCCAAUUAAGUCUCACAAGCCUGAGCUUCCGAUGACAGGACCAGGCCAUGGUGGAAGAGUUGGCACAACUCAAGGAAGCUUAUUGACCCAGUACCUUCUUAAGCAAGGGGGAAUGAUCAAGGAAACAUGGAUGGAAGAAGAUCCAAGGGAAGCAAUACUGAAGUAUGCUGAUGUUGCAGCAAAAGAUCCCAAGUUUAUUGCUCCAGCAUAUGCACAAACCCAGCCUGAACCAGUUUUUGCAAAGUCAGAUUCUGAGGAUGAAGAUAAAUGACCUGAUUUGUAGCAUGCCUUGGCUAUUUAGUAACUGGUUAGUAACUAGGAUGAAGGUAUUAUUUCUUCUUGCUCAUGAAAGUUGAGUGGUCCAACAGAAUGUGGAAUUCUUUUGGUACAUGUCUUUCAUUCUGCUUAAUGUAACGUGUUGGAACUUCUUUCUUCUUUUGUAGCUGGGUUCAGAUCUGAAUGAUGUCUGCAUGUGCCUGAAUCUAACUUUAGCACUGGAAGAAAACAUUGAAUCAAACGUGAAUAUGAUGAAGGGGCACAAAGUGCAACCCAAGGAGAAAGGCAGGCAACAACCAAUAACCCACACUCAAGCAGUGCAAAGCUAGGAUUAUCCUUGCGGUGGAAGUUUUGUCCUUUGUUUUCUUGUUUCUAAUUAAACAAAGGAGGGGGUUUAGAAGGGGACAGUUUUUGGAGUCUUAACUUCUCGUGUAGAUAAACUUCGAGUAAGUUUGUCACCAAUUCCAAACAUUCCACAGAAAUGGGCAACUGAACUAAAAUUGUUGAUAUACAAAGAUGGAGGGAAAGCAACUUCUUUUGCUCAUUAAAUUUUGUUUUAUUCUAUGCGUAAUUAAGCAAAAUAGGAGUUGGAUCCUGCAGCAAGAAUUUUUGGAUCCUGUAGCAAA